rnacentral:rRNA from 1 species
CCUACGGGAGGCAGCAGUGGGGAAUCUUGGACAAUGGGGGAAACCCUGAUCCAGCGACGCCGCGUGCGGGAUGAAGGCCUUCGGGUUGUAAACCGCUUUUAUAGAGGAAGAAGCAGCAAUGCUGACGGUACUCUAUGAAUAAGGGGUGCUAAUCUGUG